rnacentral:lncRNA from 1 species
GCGUCAUUAUGGAGUAAAGGGGGUGGCGGCAAAAGGCGUCAUUAUGGAGGAAAGGGGGUGGCGUCAAAAAGCAUCAUAAUGGAGGAAAGGGUUAAAACUUUGGUUGACAAUCUUACAUUUCCUUAUUGUUAUAUAAAAUACAUGUGUGUGUAUGUGUGUGUAUGCUUGUGAAGUUUAUUCAUGUUCAAACUGGGUUUUUUU